rnacentral:tRNA from 1 species
AGCAGCGCGGCUCGGUGGAAAGAGCCUGGGCUUCGGAGUCAGAGAUCCUGGGUUCGACUCCCGGCUCUGCCA